UUGUAAAAAAAGCUUAGCCGUGUGUUGUCCUUUCAACCACCUUUGGAAAUGUCAAUGAUCGUGGAGACGAUGGGAUUCUUCUUUGGGGUCAUAGGCUCCGUCUUGUUGGGCAUCACUCUCUUCAACGCCAACUGGAGGGUGUCUUCGGUGGAUGGAAACGUCAUCACCACCUCCACCUUGUUCGAGAACCUGUGGAUGAGCUGCGCCACCGAUUCCACCGGCGUGUACAACUGCCGAGACUUCCCGUCCUUGCUGGCGCUG